AUGGUUUUCAAAGAAACUCCAUUGAUUCAGCCGUAUAUUCCUUUUUCUCCCACUCUUUCCCAUCCAACACUUUUUCUCAACCUCUCCCUCUUUAUCAUGAAGAGCUGAGAAGGUUUGAUCAUGAAGUUAGUCAAUCAAUGUUCCAGCAGAUGAUAAGUCCAGGCAAACUUCAUCUCUGCUCAUUAAGUGUAUCACAAAGUGGAGUGCCAUCACAUCUGCCUGCACUCCAGAUGGCUUCUUGCACACAGAAGCUAAAUUCAAUCCAAGGUUGUCCCUUUGCGUAUCAGGAACCACAAAACUCGGGGGAUUUUAUAAGACCAAGUCCCGAUUUUCAGGGUGAUAGCAACAUCAAUCCAGCUGCAGUUGAUAAUUUCCUUGAAAUGAAAUUGCGAUCACGUAACUGGCACCCUCAUAUGCGAGGUUUUUAGUAGCAGAGUGUUGACCACACAACCAGCAGUAGCGGAGGCGGAGAUAGAAUAACGGUAUCAACAAUGGAAAAUAGAUGACAAUUGUCUACCCAGAUCUUUCAUAUUUUUGUAGUGAAAUAGUUGUGAAGCUGUGUAAAUAAUAAACCUCUCCUAGUUACCGUCAAAUCAGGUAUAGUUAGUAGGACGAUUGUAUAUGGAAAUUUCAUGGUUAGAAAUACGGUAUGACACAGUAAAGGCUUUUAGUAAAUAGGCGGAUAUGAUAUAAGAGUUAGUACAGCAAGCCAGUAACUUUCUCGAAUUCAUACAUGCGAUGUCUGUAAGAUUGAACAGCAUGAUGUUGGUCCAUCAAUUUGGUAGUCUCAACUUUUAAUAGUUUGUUCUACCCUGCCUUUA